rnacentral:tRNA from 1 species
AAGGGAGUGGCAGAAUGGUGAUGUGACUGACUUGAAAUCAGUUUAAGGGGGUUCAAUUCCUCCCUCCCUCG